rfam:Schistosoma rodhaini strain Burundi genome assembly, scaffold: SROB_scaffold0005549
AGACUUCUGAAUCCGGGCCGAAAUUUUGUCGGACAUCAAAGCAUCAGGACUGAUGAGACUCCCCAGGUAACUGAAGCU